UUUCAGAUGGUGUUACCUACAACUUUGACAGGCUGAUGAACGAAGGAGAAGCAAUAUGACAUUGCAUGAUGAUUCAUGUCAAUGAGUUCGAACAACCUAAAAGGAAAGGAUUUUUUCUGAUCAGAAUCUGGUGAGAACAAAUUGCAAUUUAAGUAAUGUUUUGAUUUCAGAAAAUAGGAAAAUAAUUAUAUAAAAAACAAAUGAAUGGUAAAAUAUGGAUAUAACACUUAAUUUUGUUUGUCUGUAUUGAGAAAGGCCGAAGAUGCCAAUAUGGCGAUGUACUGAAAAAAAAUUCUGUGAUGGAAGCAGCUUUAUGUUCAGAUGAACCUAUUUAAAAGUAAUUCUAAUAAUUUGUCCGUAAUUUUAUGAUGUUUACUAUUGGAUGUGUAUAUAAUUUCAUUGAUGUGUUGAAAUAUGUCACAAAAAUCUGUUUGUCUUGGAAGAUUAAAUAAUGGAUGCAAUAUUUUUGUUUUGUUUUAUUGAAUAAAUAUAAGGUAUAAAAAUUGUGUAUACUAGUACAAAUGUAUACUAAAAUUUUAUUCAUGGUUUAAUUUUUUA
rnacentral:lncRNA from 1 species